GCCUACCAUGGUUUUAACGGGUAACGGGGAAUUAGGGUUCGAUUCCGGAGAGGGAGCCUGAGAAACGGCUACCACAUCCAAGGAAGGCAGCAGGCGCGCAAAUUACCCAAUCCCGAUACGGGGAGGUAGUGACAAUAAAUAACAAUACAGGGCUCUUAUGGGUCUUGUAAUUGGAAUGAGUACAAUUUAAAUCUCUUAACGAGGAACAAUUGGAGGGCAAGUCUGGUGCCAGCAGCCGCGGUAAUUCCAGCUCCAAUAGCGUAUAUUAAAGUUGUUGCAGUUAAAAAGCUCGUAGUUGAAUUUCGGAAUUUUUUUAUCGGUUGAAUCAACAGGUUCGUACUGAUUUUAAGAAUUUCUACCUUCUGGAGAACCUUAAUGUCAUUUAUUUGAUGUUUUGGGAAACCAGGACUGUUACCUUGAAAAAAUUAGAGUGUUUAAAGCAGGCUUAUGUCUGAAUAUAUUAGCAUGGAAUAAUGAAAUAGGACGGACUGAUUCUAUUUCGUUGGUUUCUAGGAUCACCGUAAUGAUUAAUAGGGAUAGUUGGGGGCAUUAGUAUUCAAUUGUCAGAGGUGAAAUUCUUGGAUUUAUUGAAGACUAACUACUGCGAAAGCAUUUGCCAAGGAUGUUUUCAUUAAUCAAGAACGAAAGUUAGGGGAUCGAAGACGAUCAGAUACCGUCGUAGUCUUAACCAUAAACUAUGCCGACUAGGGAUCGGACGAAGUUAAUUUUAUAAUGACGCGUUCGGCACCUUACG
rnacentral:rRNA from 1 species